rnacentral:lncRNA from 1 species
UUGACACUGAAGAGUUCAUUGGAAAUCAGAGAACUCCUUGUGACCUGGGAAUAUUUUAGAAGUCUCCAUUUUGAUGAAAUGACUGCAACUUACCAAGAGAACAGACGUCAUGGUUGCAGGAUGUGGUUGACAUGCUUUGUUUGUUCUUUAGAGAUGUCCCACUUUGUGUCCAAUGGCGAUGGACUGGUGGUAACUGUGGACAGUGAAUCUGGGGAUGUCUUGUGGAUCCAAAACUAUGCCUCUCCUGUGGUGGCCUUCUACAUCUGGCAGCGGGAGGGCCUGAGAAAGGUGGUGCACAUCAACGUUGCUGUGGAGACCCUACGCUAUUUGACCUUCAUGUCUGGGGAAGUGGGGCGCAUCACCAAGUGGAAAUAUCCAUUCCCCAAGGAGACAGAGGCCAAG